AAUUUUGAACGAGUGGCGGACGGGUGAGUAACACGUGGGUAACCUGCCCUUAAGUGGGGGAUAACAUUUGGAAACAGAUGCUAAUACCGCAUAAAUCCAAGAACCGCAUGGUUCUUGGCUGAAAGAUGGCGUAAGCUAUCGCUUUUGGAUGGACCCGCGGCGUAUUAGCUAGUUGGUGAGGUAACGGCUCACCAAGGCAAUGAUACGUAGCCGAACUGAGAGGUUGAUCGGCCACAUUGGGACUGAGACACGGCCCAAACUCCUACGGGAGGCAGCAGUAGGGAAUCUUCCACAAUGGACGCAAGUCUGAUGGAGCAACGCCGCGUGAGUGAAGAAGGCUUUCGGGUCGUAAAACUCUGUUGUUGGAGAAGAAUGGUCGGCAGAGUAACUGUUGUCGGCGUGACGGUAUCCAACCAGAAAGCCACGGCUAACUACGUGCCAGCAGCCGCGGUAAUACGUAGGUGGCAAGCGUUAUCCGGAUUUAUUGGGCGUAAAGCGAGCGCAGGCGGUUUUUUAAGUCUGAUGUGAAAGCCCUCGGCUUAACCGAGGAAGUGCAUCGGAAACUGGGAAACUUGAGUGCAGAAGAGGACAGUGGAACUCCAUGUGUAGCGGUGAAAUGCGUAGAUAUAUGGAAGAACACCAGUGGCGAAGGCGGCUGUCUGGUCUGUAACUGACGCUGAGGCUCGAAAGCAUGGGUAGCGAACAGGAUUAGAUACCCUGGUAGUCCAUGCCGUAAACGAUGAAUGCUAGGUGUUGGAGGGUUUCCGCCCUUCAGUGCCGCAGCUAACGCAUUAAGCAUUCCGCCUGGGGAGUACGACCGCAAGGUUGAAACUCAAAGGAAUUGACGGGGGCCCGCACAAGCGGUGGAGCAUGUGGUUUAAUUCGAAGCAACGCGAAGAACCUUACCAGGUCUUGACAUCUUUUGAUCACCUGAGAGAUCAGGUUUCCCCUUCGGGGGCAAAAUGACAGGUGGUGCAUGGUUGUCGUCAGCUCGUGUCGUGAGAUGUUGGGUUAAGUCCCGCAACGAGCGCAACCCUUAUGACUAGUUGCCAGCAUUUAGUUGGGCACUCUAGUAAGACUGCCGGUGACAAACCGGAGGAAGGUGGGGAUGACGUCAAAUCAUCAUGCCCCUUAUGACCUGGGCUACACACGUGCUACAAUGGAUGGUACAACGAGUUGCGAGACCGCGAGGUCAAGCUAAUCUCUUAAAGCCAUUCUCAGUUCGGACUGUAGGCUGCAACUCGCCUACACGAAGUCGGAAUCGCUAGUAAUCGCGGAUCAGCACGCCGCGGUGAAUACGUUCCCGGGCCUUGUACACACCGCCCGUCACACCAUGAGAGUUUGUAACACCCGAAGCCGGUGGCGUAACCCUUUUAGGGAGCGAGCCGUCUAAGGUGGGACAAAUGAUUAGGGUGAAGUCGUAACAAGGUAGCCGUAGGAGAACCUGCGGCUGGAUCACCUCCUUUCUAAGGAA
rnacentral:rRNA from 2 species